GACAUAGGUGGCGAACGUUAUCCGGAUUUAUUGGGCGUAAAGGAUGCGUAGGCGGCUUUUUAAGUCAGGGGUGAAAUCCUGGAGCUCAACUCCAGAACUGCCUUUGAUACUGGAAAGCUUGAGUCCGGGAGAGGUGAGUGGAACUCCGAGUGUAGAGGUGAAAUUCGUAGAUAUUCGGAAGAACACCAGUGGCGAAGGCGGCUCACUGGCCCGGUACUGACGCUGAGGUGCGAAAGCGUGGGGAGCAAACAGG
rnacentral:rRNA from 1 species